CAGUCGCCGCGGGAACACGUAGGUGGCAAGCGUUGUCCGGAAUUAUUGGGCGUAAAGCGCGCGCAGGCGGAUCAGUCAGUCUGUCUUAAAAGUUCGGGGCUUAACCCCGUGAUGGGAUGGAAACUGCUGAUCUAGAGUAUCGGAGAGGAAAGUGGAAUUCCUAGUGUAGCGGUGAAAUGCGUAGAUAUUAGGAAGAACACCAGUGGCGAAGGCGACUUUCUGGACGAAAACUGACGCUGAGGCGCGAAAGCCAGGGGGGCGAACGGGAUUAGAUACCCCUGUAGUCCCUGUCUCUUAUACA
rnacentral:rRNA from 1 species